GGGGGACAAAGUGACAGGUGGUGCAUGGUUGUCGUCAGCUCGUGUCGUGAGAUGUUGGGUUAAGUCCCGCAACGAGCGCAACCCUUAAGCUUAGUUGCCAUCAUUAAGUUGGGCACUCUAAGUUGACUGCCGGUGACAAACCGGAGGAAGGUGGGGAUGACGUCAAAUCAUCAUGCCCCUUAUGAUUUGGGCUACACACGUGCUACAAUGGACAAUACAAAGGGCAGCGAAACCGCGAGGUCAAGCAAAUCCCAUAAAG
rnacentral:rRNA from 1 species